rnacentral:rRNA from 1 species
UACGAAGGGGGCUAGCGUUGCUCGGAAUCACUGGGCGUAAAGCGCACGUAGGCGGAUUGCUAAGUCAGGGGUGAAAUCCUGCAGCUCAACUCCAGAACUGCCUUUGAUACUGGCGAUCUCGAGUCCGGGAGAGGUGAGUGGAACUGCGAGUGUAGAGGUGAAAUUCGUAGAUAUUCGCAAGAACACCAGUGGCGAAGGCGGCUCACUGGCCCGGUACUGACGCUGAGGUGCGAAAGCGUGGGGAGCAAACAGG